rnacentral:tRNA from 1 species
AGUCGCGUGGUCUAAUGGUUAUGAUUUCCCGUUCACAUUGAAGUGAGCAUUACUACUACUAGUAGAAUACCGGGAAGGUUCCCGGUUCGAUCCCGGGCGCGACUA